ensembl:lncRNA
AAAUUCUUCUGGUGAACUUAGUUCAGUUUUGAAGGGAAGGAAGUCGUUCCUGAUGGUUGGGGUCUCUGAAACUCUGAGGAUCGUGAGGAUUUCUGGCUGGGAAGAAAAAUGUGUCUGUGGCCAAUGGCUCUCGUUGCUGCAGUUGUCCAGCACUGUGUGUGUUAAGCUUUCUUCAGAUAGCUGUUUCUGUAAAGCUGCAUGUUCGCAUUUAGCAGGAAAUUGUUGGAUGCAAUAAAAGACAAUAUAUCUCACACUGUUUCUUUUUGUUAGCUGCUAUACGGAAGCCUGGCCCUGCUGCAGGGGGAUGUUAUUUUCUUAAGGGACUGCUCUUAUGAGAUCAGUGCAGAACAAGAUAGCUGUGGAAAAAUAACAUGGAGAGUGGAAAUUCCAGCUGCAAUUUCUCAUUUCAUUCUUGUGCCAUGGCUUAAACUGAUAGAAUACCAGAGAUGAAAGCUAAUUUUGGAUCAACAGUUGCAGUGCAGAUGCAAUGCUUCUAAAGGAGAGGACCACCGCAGGUGCUGCCCCUAAGACAGAGAGGAUGUGGGGCAGAAGGCUGAGUUUGCAUGAGCAGCGGUGGUGACAGAACAGCCAGCAGCACAGCUGGACCCAGGGGUGCCAAGGGCUGCGGGAUGCUCGUCCCAAACAGUGCUGUACAAUCACCUCCCCAAGGGACACAGAGCCCCCACGCUCCCUCCUCACAGAAGAAGGAUGCAUUGAGGAAACCAGAAAUAGUACCAAACAAAGAAACAGACGAGGUGCUGCUAGUACCGAGAGCCCUACAACGGGAUGGCAUUUUUCCCAUCUUCGAUACUUUCACAUGGAAAGGUUACGGCGUUUGCUGUGAACUUCAGCAUCCCUCAACCUCAAUCCCACAGCCUUCAGAAGUUGUAGAAUUUCUGUGCUUUUAAGUAAAACACACCAUGAGCAGGAAUGAAACUCUUGCAAAGCACACGUGGUCAGCGGCAGGCAUCCGCGUGGCACUCCCUGCCAGCUCAAUGGGAACAGCUCCCCUCACCCCGGGACAAAGCAGAGGUGCCCCCACCCUCACCACAGUCUGUGUGCUGCUGCUGAGCCUCGUGGAAAUGGGAAGGGCACGUGGAGCUGUGCUGAGUUCUGGAGCUUGGAACACAAGCUUUGUUCAAGCUCUGGGGUUGUAUAUACGGUUGGUAGCGCUGCAAACCCAGAUAGAGUAAUUACAUGCUUCUUUCUGAUAGGAAUUCUUUUUGUUUGUACAGUAUUACAUCUAUCUAUAUAUAAAUAUUUAGUUUCUGGAAAUCAUGCAGUAUAUGAUGCCAUACAUUCAGCACACACCUUCUGAGUUAUAAACCCACUUAGUUGAACUACAUUUCCCAUUUAAAGGAGAUCUGGAUCCGCUCUCUCCCAGUUCAACCCCGACAAGGGCUGCCCCUGGAGCCACCCCUGGGCCCUGCCCUGCGCUGGGAGGCACAGAGGUGGCAACGAGGCACUCCACGUGUGCGCUGCCCCAUGGGGAUGGAGCAGAUUGGCAAAGCUUUGCCACUUUUUUUCUGUGGUGCAUUUUAGUUGGAUUUGCAGGUGCCGGCCCCAUAAGGAACACGCUCGGGUUGAGAGCUCUUUGCUUGGGGGGGUACUUCAGCAAAACGGAGUUUCUCGAUGGUUCCCAAAAGCAUAGUGCAUGGGUGCCUUGUGAAUAGGAAGGGGGGGAGAGAAAAAAAGAAAAAGAGGGGGAAAAAAGGGGGGAAAGGGGGGGGGGUGGGGAAGGGGGGGGGGGG